rnacentral:pre_miRNA from 1 species
UCUCAUGGUUGAGCAGAGAAAGUAGUUUCUUGAGAUAGAAACUACUCAUGGUGAAGGUGCUGUGAA